AGAGGAUCAACAGAGACAAUGACUUUAGAAAGUUGCGGUGAAUCGGCGGAGGCGGCGGAGGCUUGCCAUGAUUUGGAAACAACUAAAGGACACUUGAGUAACCACACUGCAUCCUUCGACUUCUCUGUAUCCACUGUUAUACUACUGUUGCUGUUAUCUUCCUCCAUCUCCGUCGGCUGUUAUGAUCGAUUUUCCGAUGAUUCAGCUCCUCCUGUUUCGACGGUGGCGAUGGCUGAAAUUGGAAAAGCGGAGAACUCAAGUGGACCGAGAUUGAAUCGGGUGUGGGUACGGAUUGAAGACUUGAGUCCACACGGGAAUUGUAAUUUGUGAGUUGAUAUACGAGAGUUUUUGGCCAAUAUUUUCCUUAUGUUCGAGGAUAGUUAUAAUUCUGAGCAUAUUUAUGUCUUUAAGUAUGUUAAAUUGGAGAUCUUUAGUCUCCUUAAUAGAAUCUGUCCAAAAUUAAUUACAGGAUUGGUUUGGAUACCCGCC
rnacentral:lncRNA from 1 species